GAUCCUGGCUCAGAUUGAACGCUGGCGGCAGGCCUAACACAUGCAAGUCGAACGGUAACAGGAAACAGCUUGCUGUUUCGCUGACGAGUGGCGGACGGGUGAGUAAUGUCUGGGAAACUGCCUGAUGGAGGGGGAUAACUACUGGAAACGGUAGCUAAUACCGCAUAACGUCGCAAGACCAAAGAGGGGGGACCUUCGGGCCUCUUGCCAUCGGAUGUGCCCAGAUGGGAUUAGCUAGUAGGUGGGGUAACGGG
rnacentral:rRNA from 1 species